rnacentral:rRNA from 1 species
UGGGGAAUUUUGGACAAUGGGCGCAAGCCUGAUCCAGCCAUGCCGCGUGCGGGAAGAAGGCCUUCGGGUUGUAAACCGCUUUUGUCAGGGAAGAAAUCUUCUGAGUUAAUACCUCGGGAGGAUGACGGUACCUGAAGAAUAAGCACCGGCUAACUACGUGCCAGCAGCCGCGGUAAUACGUAGGGUGCAAGCGUUAAUCGGAAUUACUGGGCGUAAAGCGUGCGCAGGCGGUUUUGUAAGACAGAGGUGAAAUCCCCGGGCUCAACCUGGGAACUGCCUUUGUGACUGCAAGGCUUGAGUGCGGCAGAGGGGGAUGGAAUUCCGCGUGUAGCAGUGAAAUGCGUAGAUAUGCGGAGGAACACCGAUGGCGAAGGCGAUCCCCUGGGCCUGCACUGACGCUCAUGCACGAAAGCGUGGGGAGCAAACAGAUUAGAUCCCUGGUAGUCCACGCCCUAAAACGAUGUCAACUGGUUGUUGGGAAGGUUCCUUCUCAGUAACGUAGCUAACGCGUGAAGUUGACCGCCUGGGGAGUACGGCCGC